UCAUCUUGUUUCUCUUUCCUUGAAAGUAAAGACGUUAAUAUUUUGGCUUCCCCUUUGCGUUUGGUAGCAUAUAGUUAUUUGGGGAUAGGAUAUGCUGUUCGAACCCAGACCUUACAUUCUAUAUACACGUGGAAUGGGUCCCUUUUGCUACUUGUAAAUCACUAAAUUGGGAUGUCUGACUCAGAGACCCGAGCUUUUAACACGCAACCAGACCAAGUUGGCAAUGGCAUACACCAGUCCAUUGUAGAAUGUAGUGAGCCAAGAAAAGUCGGCUGUCUUUUUCUUGGUUUUUAUUUUAAUAUUUUCUUUUUUCAAAACUGUGUUGACGUCACACGUGUCAAUCAGAAGAAGGGCCCAAAGUUAAAUUUAUCUUUAAUCUUUCCAAAGUUUUCUUGACACAUAAUUUUGGAAUCUGAGAUACCUAAUUGGAACCCAGGACGGUGACCUUUUUACACAACAUAUCUUGUGGUUGUAAAAAAAAAAAAAAAAGACCUGUUCGUCAUACCUAAUAAUCAUCUGGUGUGGCCAGGUUCGAUGCGCGUCGAUGUUUGCCGACAUUCACCCACGCCACCACAUGUUUCUUCAAAGUGUUGUCUGCCUUGUUCCGCAGCUGCCCUCCGAUUACAAGAUUUUAUUGUCUUUUGGUAACUUGUAACCGGUACAACAUUUUUAUGCAUGUAUAUUUAGUUUGAAACAUGAAAAUAACAUUUCCUUAUAAUGAUCCAAGGGGGAAUGAAUCAUUCUGGUAACAUUUCAUGCUCUUCAUCGAUGUUUUGUUGCAUAUAACCGUUUCACAGUUGGUACAAAACAUAGCAAAUCCGAGGGUCUGGCGAAUGGGAUGAGGGGAAGGCGUGGGCAUUGACUGGGGUGGUUGGGCAGUAGUGGUCCCAUCAACCAGGACCACGUUUAGAGGAUGGGUUCGAUGGGGCAAUAGCAAAUAGGUUUAACAAAAGAAGUUAAAGUUUGGGGGCAAGUGGGCAGCCUUCUUGACUUUUGAAAGCACGAACCGAAGAACAUUCUCUUGUAGAUUCUACAUAAAAAAAAAAAAAAACACUUAAAAGACCAAAAAGGUUCCUUGUUGCAUUCAAAUGGACUUUCUGGGGUUGAACGUUGAAAACGUAAACAAUGACACGAACACUUGUUUUGCAUACCCGAAAUCUUCAAAGGCUUUACUUUUUUC
rnacentral:lncRNA from 1 species